AUGGAAGAAAUUGUGAAGGCAAGAAAAGAAGCCAACAAGGUGAGGAAAAUGGCAAGAAACCAAGAUGCCGCGGCCGAGGAGAGGAGGUUGGCGGCCGAGGAGAGGAGGGUGGCGGCCGAGGAGAGAAAGGUGGCUUUGGAGGAGAGGAAGGUGAGCAAUGAGGAGCGUACUAAAUUGUUGGAAUGGGAGAAGCACUUGUUCUUCUUGGACACAUCUAAUACGCAAAUGGAGUAUGUCAAUCUAGCCCGUGAAGAAGUCUUGAUCCAAAAAAGAGCCAUGGUUCGUGCAAUGGGUGGCGGUGGCCUCGACGCCAUGGGUGGCAGUGGCUUCGGCGCCAUGGGUGGCUUUGGAGCUUCCCCCGACGCUAUGGCCACCAUGGGAGGCAUGAUUUUUGCUUCUCUCAUGGGAGGCAUGGGUGCACCUCCGGCCGCCAUGGGCGGAAUGUCUUUCGAUGUGCCUCCUCGCACACAUUCCCAUGAAGAUGCCGUUGCAGAUCUUGCCGAUCUUGCCAACACCGUCAGAGCUUCACGUGAUGCGGUGCGCGAUGAAGAGAGGGAGGAAGAUUCAUCUUCGAAGGCGGAAGAAUCGUCUUCUGAAGAUGAGGACGAGGACGAAGACGAGGACAAGGAAUGA
rnacentral:rRNA from 1 species